rnacentral:rRNA from 1 species
AGCAGCCGCGGUAAUUCCAGCUCCAAUAGCGUAUAUUAAAGUUGUUGCAGUUAAAAAGCUCGUAGUUGAAUUUCGGGAUCAAUACGUCGGUCGUGCUUUUUUGGUACGCACUGGCGUCAUUGGUUUCUCCUUUCUGACGAACCACGAUGUCAUUAAUUUGGUGUCAUGGGGAGUUAGGACUGUUACUUUGAAAAAAUUAGAGUGUUUAAAGCAGGCAUUAGCUUGAAUACAUUAGCAUGGAAUAAUGAAAUAGGACGUUCGAUCCUAUUUUGUUGGUUUCUAGGAUCAACGUAAUGAUUAAUAGGGAUAGUUGGG